UACGUAGGGGGCAAGCGUUGUCCGGAUUUACUGGGCGUAAAGAGCGCGCAGGCGGUCGUUCAAGUCGCGUGUGAAAGCCCCCGGCUCAACUGGGGAGGGUCACGCGAUACUGAUCGACUCGAAGGCAGGAGAGGGAAGUGGAAUUCCCGGUGUAGUGGUGAAAUGCGUAGAUAUCGGGAGGAACACCGGUGGCGAAGGCGGCUUGCUGGGCCUUACCUGACGCUGAGGAGCGAAAGCGUGGGGAGCGAACAGG
rnacentral:rRNA from 1 species